UGCAGUCGAGUGCGCGGUGUGGGUAGCAAUACUCGUACUGGCGCACGGCGCACGGGUGCGUAACACGUGGGCAAUCUGCCCUCCGAUGGGGAAUAACUCCGGGAAACCGAAGCUAAUUCCGCAUAACAUUCCCUAGACUCCGGUUCGGGGAUUCAAAGCCGCAAGGCGUCGGAGGAGGAGCCCGCGCCCGAUUAGCUAGUUGGCAGGGUAACGGCCUACCAAGGCAAUGAUCGGUAGCUGGUCUGAGAGGAUGGCCAGCCACACUGGAACUGAGACACGGUCCAGACUCCUACGGGAGGCAGCAGUGGGGAAUCUUGCGCAAUGGGCGAAAGCCUGACGCAGCGACGCCGCGUGGGGGAUGAAGCUUCUCGGAGUGUAAACCCCUUUCGACUGGGACGAAUGCCUCGCAAGAGGAGUGACGGUACCAGUAGAAGAAGCCCCGGCUAACUACGUGCCAGCAGCCGCGGUAAGACGUAGGGGGCCAGCGUUGUUCGGAAUUACUGGGUGUAAAGGGUUCGUAGGCGGUGUGGCAAGUCGGGAGUGAAAUCUAUGGGCUUAACUCAUAGUCUGCUUCCGAAACUGCUGUGCUGGAGUGUGGGAGAGGCGUGUGGAAUUGCAGGUGUAGCGGUGAAAUGCGUAGAUAUCUGCAGGAACACCCGUGGCGAAAGCGGCGCGCUGGACCACUACUGACGCUGAGAACGAAAGCUAGGGGAGCAAACAGGAUUAGAUACCCUGGUAGUCCUAGCCCUAAACGAUCAGGACUUGGGGUGCCGCACGUUCGUGCGUCGUCCCGGAGCUACGCGUUAAGUCCUGCACCUGGGGAGUACGGUCGCAAGACUGAAACUCAAAGGAAUUGACGGGGGCCCGCACAAGCGGUGG
rnacentral:rRNA from 1 species